rnacentral:miRNA from 1 species
UUUGGCACUUGCACAUAUUUGCU